AAAGACUUAGGAUAAUUAAACCAAGAGCCUUCAAAGCCCUAAAUAGAAGUUCAAACCUUCUAGUCUUUG
rnacentral:tRNA from 1 species